rnacentral:rRNA from 1 species
GAUGAACGCUGGCGGCGUGCCUAAUACAUGCAAGUCGAGCGAACGGACGAGAAGCUUGCUUCUCUGAUGUUAGCGGCGGACGGGUGAGUAACACGUGGAUAACCUACCUAUAAGACUGGGAUAACUUCGGGAAACCGGAGCUAAUACCGGAUGAUAUUUUGAACCGCAUGGUUCAAAAGUGAAAGACGGUCUUGCUGUCACUUAUAGAUGGAUCCGCGCUGCAUUAGCUAGUUGGUAAGGUAACGGCUUACCAAGGCAACGAUGCAUAGCCGACCUGAGAGGGUGAUCGGCCACACUGGAACUGAGACACGGUCCAGACUCCUACGGGAGGCAGCAGUAGGGAAUCUUCCGCAAUGGGCGAAAGCCUGACGGAGCAAAGCCGCGUGAGUGAUGAAGGUCUUCGGAUCGUAAAACUCUGUUAUUAGGGAAGAACAUAUGUGUAAGUAACUGUGCACAGCUUGACGGUACCUAAUCAGAAAGCCACGGCUAACUACGUG